AGCGAACGCUGGCGGCAGGCCUAACACAUGCAAGUCGAACGGAUCCUUCGGGAUUAGUGGCGGACGGGUGAGUAACACGUGGGAACGUGCCCUUUGGUUCGGAACAAAUCAGGGACACUUGAGCUAAUACCGGAUGUGCCCUUCGGGGGAAAGAUUUAUCGCCAUUGGAGCGGCCCGCGUCUGAGUAGCUAGUUGGUGAGGUAAAGGCUCACCAAGGCGACGAUCAGUAGCUGGUCUGAGAGGAUGAUCAGCCACAUUGGGACUGAGACACGGCCCAAACUCCUACGGGAGGCAGCAGUGGGGAAUCUUGCGCAAUGGGCGAAAGCCUGACGCAGCCAUGCCGCGUGAAUGAUGAAGGUCUUAGGAUUGUAAAAUUCUUUCACCGGGGACGAUAAUGACGGUACCCGGAGAAGAAGCCCCGGCUAACUUCGUGCCAGCAGCCGCAGUAA
rnacentral:rRNA from 1 species